UGUUUAAUUUUAGAAUUUUACCAUAGUAUAUCAUUCCGUAUUAAUAUUGAUCCAAACCGUCUCACCAUAUAUCCUAGUUCUGUGAAAUUAAACAUCAUUUUGUCAUUUUCUUAUAAAGUUCAAAUCUAUAU
rnacentral:sRNA from 1 species